GCAUAGUUAGCUUAGUAGCUAUAGCGCAUCUGCCUUGUAAGCGCUAGGCCGCGGGUUCGAUUCCCGCCCGGGGCG
rnacentral:tRNA from 1 species